GCUUAGCCACAAACUUUUAAUUACACCCCAAACGCCCGGGAACUACGAGCAAAGCUUAAAACCCAAAGGACUUGACGGUGCCCCAUAUCCCCCUAGAGGAGCCUGUCCUAUAAUCGAUAACCCCCGUUUAACCUCACCACUUUUCGCCUUUCAGUCUGUAUACCUCCGUCGUCAGCUUACCAUGUGAGUGAAGAAUAGUAAGUACAAUGUCUUAUUUCACGUCAAUACGUCAGGUCAAGGUGCAACUAAUAAAGUGGGAAGAGAUGGGCUACACUCUCUAAUUUAGAAUAUACGAAAGACUACUAUGAAAGCUAGUCUAAAGGUGGAUUUAGUAGUAAAAAAAGACCAGAGUGCUUUUUUUAACUAGGCCCUGGGGUGUGUACACACCGCCCGUCACCCUCUUCGUAGCCAGAAUUUAGUAAUUAACAUAAAUUGCACAGUAGAAGAGGUAAGUCGUAACAUGGUAAGUAUACCGGAAGGUAUGCUUGGAAAC
rnacentral:rRNA from 1 species